CCUACGGGUGGCAGCAGUGGGGAAUAUUGCACAAUGGGGGAAACCCUGAUGCAGCGACGCCGCGUGAGUGAAGAAGUAAUUCGUUAUGUAAAGCUCUGUCAGCAGGGAAGAAAAUGACGGUACCUGAGUAAGAAGCACCGGCUAACUACGUGCAAGCAGCCGCGGUAAUACGUCGGGGGCAAGCGUUAUCCGGUUUUACUGGGUGUAAAGGGAGCGUAGACGGCAGUGCAAGACUGGAGUGAAAGGCGGGGGCUCAACCCCCGGACUGCUCUUGAAACUGUACGGCUGGAGUGCAGGAGAGGUAAGUGGAAUUCCUAGUGUAGCGGUGAAAUGCGUAGAUAUCAGGAGGAACAUCAGUGGCGAAGGCGGCUUACUGGACCGUAACUGACGCUGAGGCGCGAAAGCGUGGGGAGCAAACAGGAUUAUAUACCCCAGUAGUC
rnacentral:rRNA from 1 species